UGGGGAAUAUUGGACAAUGGGCGCAAGCCUGAUCCAGCCAUGCCGCGUGAGUGAUGAAGGCCCUAGGGUUGUAAAGCUCUUUCACCGGUGAAGAUAAUGACGGUAACCGGAGAAGAAGCCCCGGCUAACUUCGUGCCAGCAGCCGCGGUAAUACGGAGGGUGCGAGCGUUAUCCGGAAUUAUUGGGUUUAAAGGGUGCGUAGGUUGCAAGGGAAGUCAGGGGUGAAAAGCUAUAGCUCAACUAUGGUCUUGCCUUUGAAACUCUCUAGCUAGAGUGUACUGGAGGUACGUGGAACGUGUGGUGUAGCGGUGAAAUGCAUAGAUAUCACACAGAACUCCGAUUGCGCAGGCAGCGUACUACAUUACAACUGACACUGAAGAACGAAAGCGUGGGUAUCAAACAGG
rnacentral:rRNA from 1 species